GAUUUAUGAACCGAAGAUUAGAUUCUGCCCAGCUGCAUUCAUGAAAUGAACAAGAUUUCAUGGUCAGAACAGUGGCACCAGUUUUCCUUAAUGGUGCUGGCAAGUUCCCAUGUCCCUUUACCAUCAAAGUUGGGCAAGGAAGUACCAUGAGAUACCCCAGUGGGACUACUUUGGAGGAAAAGAAUAUUAAGAUGGAAGAGGACAGUGAUACAUAGAAGAAGCA